rnacentral:rRNA from 1 species
CUACGGGGGGCACCAGUGAGGAAUAUUGCACAAUGGGGGGAACCCUGAUGCAGCAACGCCGCGUGGAGGAUGACGCAUUUCGGUGUGUAAACUCCUUUUAUAUGUCAAGAAAAUGACGGUAGCAUAUGAAUAAGCACCGGCUAACUCCGGCCAGCAGCCGCGGUAAUACGGAGGGUGCAAGCGUUACUCGGAAUCACUGGGCGUAAAGGACGCGUAGGCGGGUUGGAAAGUCAGGUGUGAAAUCCUACAGCUUAACUGUAGAACUGCACUUGAAACUUCUAAUCUAGAGUAUGGGAGGGGGAGAUGGAAUUAGUGGUGUAGGGGUAAAAUCCGUAGAUAUCACUAGGAAUACCUAAAGCGAAGGCGAUCUCCUGGAACAUUACUGACGCUAAGGCGUGGAAGCGUGGGGAGCAAACAGGAUUAGAUACCCCCGUAGUC